GACGAACGCUGGCGGCGUGCCUAAUACAUGCAAGUCGAACGCAGUGGGGACGGGUGAGUAACCCGUGGGUAACCUCCCAUCAGAGGGGAUAACACCUGGAAACAGGUGCUAAACCGAUACUGAUGGAUGGUCCCGUGGUGCAUUAGAGAGUUGGGGGGGUAACGGCUCACAAAGGCCACGAUGCAUAGCGGACCUGAGAGGUGGAUCGGCCACACUGGGACUGAGACACGGCCCAGACUCCUACGGGAGGCAGCAGUAGGGAAUCUUCGGCAAGGGACGAAAGUCUGACCGAGCAACGCCGCGUGAGGGAAGAAGGUUUUCGGAUCGUAAAACUCUGUUGUUAGAGAGGCGGUAUCUAAACAGAAAGCCACGGCUAACUACGUGCCAGCAGCCGCGGUAAUAC
rnacentral:rRNA from 1 species